rnacentral:sRNA from 1 species
UGACCCUUAUUAAGCCGAGGGUCACCUAGCCAACUGACGUUGUUAGUGAAUAACAUUGUUCACAUUGAUUGUGCCAAGUGCGAUUUGCACUUGGCUUUUUUUUU